AUGUCCUCCGCCGGCGACGGGGAAGACGGCGGCGGCGCCGCCGCCGACACGAUGGUCCUGGAGAUCACCGACGCAGCAGCAUCCCCCUCCUCCGCGCCUCCACCUCCCCCCAUCCCAGUCUCCGCGCUCGCCGCCCCACUCCCGUCCCCGACCGUCCUCGCGGUCCGCGCCGACCGGAGCAGGCUCAUCGAGAGCUCCUCCUACUUCCGCGCCCUCCUCGGCGGCAGCUUCAGCGAAUCGGGCAGCGGCUACGUGCGGAUCAGCUGCGACCUCGCCGCCGCCGUGCAGGUCCUCCGGUACCUCUUCGAGCCCCCCGCGAGCUUCGCGAUCUCGCAUCACAACUUCCUCCCGCUGCUGGAGGGUGCUCUGUUUCUCGCUGUCGAGAGCCUUCUAGUGGACUGUGAAAGGUGGUUCAGAACCGUGAGAUCUCGAAAUCCCUCCAUGGUGGUACCGUUGGAUUUCAUAAUCGAGGCCUGGUACUUCGCUCCAAAGCACGGGGUUACUUUUGUUGAAGACGUAUGUCCAGGAUAUCUAGCUCAGAAUUUUGUACAAGUUAUCUCCAGUAGGUCAUUUGUUCAUAUACCUUAUGAUCUGCUGUGCUCCACCAUUGAAUCCCCACACCUGACUGUGGAUAGUGAAAAGCAAUUGUGUGAAGCAAUUUUAUCUUGGGUUUCCGCAAGUAGGCAAUCCUGUGAACAAUCAGUCUCCAACUCAGCAGAUAACCAACUCUCCCUUCUUAGCAAGGUUAGGGUAUGCCUUUUACCUUUAGGAUUUGCAGCAGGUACAAAGAGAAACUGCUUUGAAUUUGGGAACAAUGCUGUAUGUAUGAUUCUUAAUCUGCUUAAGGACAGUUUGCAAACUCUACUGCAUACAGUUACCGAUGACAACUUGGAUAGUUACCGUAUUCGAUUAACAGAAUACUCCAAGAAAAUAGUACUUUCGGGAUGUCCCCAGUUAACUACGCAAUUCCUAUACAUAUCGGCGCUCCCCACUGAUCUAGAUGCUGUAUUUAAGAGAACUAUAGUGAGCGAUGUUAACGACGGAUGUUUGAACCAUUACAAUGGGCUGGUGAAGAAGGCUAAAACCUUGUCAUUUAGAAAUGUACGCAUUGUGGAUCUCUCCAAAUGUCCAAAUGUACAUUUUGGUGCAGUAAUUUUAUGGAUGAAGUGGACAUUUCCAGAAUUGAGGACGUUCAUAGCUUCCUAUUGUUUACUCUUUCAGUUUGAAGAUUUGCAGUGUUUGUUACUGAGAUGCCCAUGGAUUAAUGAAAUCAAUUUGAGUAUUGAUACAAGCGUUAUACUAUCCAAGUACUCGAUUAUAUCUUCUAGAUCUGAAGUACGGCGUGACGUGAAUCGAAAUCUAUCUAGCUAUUACAUGCAAAGUGGAUUAUAUGGGACCUCAGGAAACCCAGUUUUCUCAAAUAUAUCAAAAUUGAUACUGGAAGGCCGAAAUGAUAUUACUGAUAUGAACUUGCUGGAGAUAUCCAUGCUGAAAAGCUCUCUAUGUUAUAUAAACAUUAAACAUUGCACCCUGUUGACAGACGAUGGUAUAUCUACACUACUGUUGAAUUGUAGAAAAAUGCACUCGAUGGUUCUUUCUUAUACAUCGUUUGGAAAUCAUUCAAUUCAAACCCUAUGCUCAUUGGAUCCUUCAGAUAGCUUUUCUUACCAUAAGGAUGAACAUGCUCAUGUUAUGGCAUUUAGGUUGCAAGAAUUGCAUCUGGAAGGCUGUGAAGGUAUUAGUUGUGCUGCUAUGUCCCAGCUAGUGAGUAAUAUGAAUAUUGUGAAGUCCUUAUGCUUAAGGGAGACAUCACUUGCAGAUGGUGCUCUCUGCAACUUUGUUGGCUCUUCACUUGAGUAUCUUGAUAUUUCGGAGACUGUGGUUUCUAUGGUCUCAUUGGCACCAGUUAUACGAAGAAACUCUAAUUUGAGCUGCUUGAAAACAGCUGGAUGCCGUAACCUGCUGUUUGAACAGGGUGAGGUACAAUCCACGAGUGGUAACAAGUAUGGCAGGUUUCUUCAGGAGAUAACCAGUACGUGCUAUUUGGAGGAUGUAGAAAUGGGCUGGGCAUUUUGCCCUGUUCGAGUUGAUGACCUCAUUCCUUCUUUUAGUAAAGUAAGGAGGAUGACAGUUGGCCUUGGCACAACAUUACCAGAGAAUAUCCUGCAUGCUCUUCCUGAGAUCUGCCCGUUUCUCGAGUCUUUGGUUCUUAGGUUUCAGGUAAUCUCUGACAGAGUUGUAAGAAAUCUAUUGGAAUCGUCAACAAAUCUUCAGGUGCUCUGCCUGCACUAUUGCCUUGGCAAUUUGACUUCAUUUAGCUUUCAAACAAUGGCACCAGCGUUAAGAAUAUUACGGCUCCAGUGGGUUACUCCAUGGAUCACAAAUGAUGAUCUGACAAUUCUUACACAGAAUUGCAAUUUAGUUGAACUUUUGCUGUCUGGUUGCAAACUCCUUGACUCCAGCUCUCAAGAGAUAAUCUCUUCUGGGUGGCCAAACUUGGCAUGUUUACAACUUGAGGAAUGUGGUCAGAUAACACUUGAUGGGGUUGAUUCUAUUUUAGAUUGUAAAGCUUUGGAAGAAGUCUUACUUAGGCACACCGGUAGAGGUAUUGGAAGAACCAUUAUAACAGAUGCUAUCAGAGAGCUACCGCUCCUAAGGAAGCUGGCGCUGGAUCUCUGCGACGCGUCCGAGGGAGGCUACGACACCCCGAACGUUCCGGAGGGGAAGAUGAUGAGGAGCGUGAGGAUGAGCAGGUGCAAGAAGUCGGUGGCGGCGGCGAGGUCGUGCUUUGGGGAGGCGUCCUCCUCGAGCUCGAACCGGAAGCCGGUGCAGCACAGGGAGACCAUCGUGCUGGAGUGGAGCAGCCGGCAGCUGACGACCACCGUAGUGGAAGAAAGACUCUAG
rnacentral:rRNA from 1 species